rfam:Ichthyophthirius multifiliis unplaced genomic scaffold scaff_1120509251428, whole genome shotgun sequence.
GGCAGUUUGUCCGAGUGGUUAAGGAGGGCGACUUAAGAUCGUCUGGACGUAGUCCGCGUGGGUUCAAAUCCCACAGCUGCCA